rnacentral:lncRNA from 1 species
UUCAUAUUUGUCAUUAAAUUUUUUUUUCCACUCAAUAUAUGUAUUUUGACAUUAUUUGGAUACAAUUUUAUCAAAUUGCAUAUGCGGGGGUACAGACUUUUUUCCAACCCUACCUAUACAAACACAAUGAUGACGGAGGCAAAAAGGAGUCCCAAAUAUUCCACAAUCAUGAUGAAUGCAAUCGAAGAAACUAUUACAUUCUGGAACCGCAUCUUCUGAAUAGGAAGUCACAUCAUUCAAACCUGUAACACAAAUUAAAAAAAGAUAAAUCUCAAGUCUCUCUCUCUCUCUCUCUCUCUCUAUCUAUAUAUAUAUAUAUAUAUAUAUAUAUANNNCAUGUACAAGUGUUGUUUCAUGAUUUACAUAAACAUCUUUGAAUUUUAAAUUUAUGAAAAGGGAAAGGAAGAGAAGGUAAAAAGAAAUUAAUUAGUCUUUUGCAGUUUGGAAUGAAAAGAAAAGAAAAGAAACGGAUUUUUUUCUACACGUGAUUUUCAGGGUAGAAAAAUAUGUUUAGAAUUCCCUUUUUUUUCAUUCCUCUAAAAGCUUAAUAGGUGUUUUCCCCCGUUUAAUCGCUCUUACUUCUCUCAUUUUUCUAUUAAAAACAAACAAACAAACAAACAAACAAACUCAAGAGUAAGGUGAAAGCGACCUAAAACAAAAAGCAGAAAGAUCACAAUGAAUGUUCGUUCCAUUCUCGAUUAAUGAUGAAUUGGAUGAAAAAAUCAAUGUGUUGUGGGUGUGCAAUUGUG